rnacentral:lncRNA from 1 species
GAGAGGGUCUGUCAGUGCUGAGAGGCUGAGGGAGUUGGGAAUGGAGAGGGACUGGGUGAGCACCAACUAAGAGGAAUGGCUACUCACCGCACAGAGGGAGAGCGGGCCUCCAGGAGGCUCAGGGCUGGCCCCACAGCGCAGGCACAAGGGAAGAGCCCCAUGCCAGUCUUCCACAACUGAACACUUUCCUCUUUCCACAGUGGCCUCUGACCCCAGGCAUCUCAGGAACAAGGGUUCCCCUAUCAUCUACUCUGAAGUUAAGGUGGCGUCAACCCCGGUUUCCGGAUCCCUGUUCUUGGCUUCCUCAGCUCCUCACAGAUGAGUCCACACGUCUCUCCAACUGCUGUUUCAGCCUCUGCACCCCAAAGUUCCCCUUGGGGGAGAAGCAGCAUUGAAGUGGGAAGAUUUAGGCUGCCCCAGACCAUAUCUACUGGCCUUUGUUUCACAUGUCCUCAUUCUCAGUCUGACCAGAAUGCAGGGCCCUGCUGGACUGUCACCUGUUUCCCAGUUAAAGCCCUGACUGGCAGGUUUUUUAAUCCAGUGGCAAGGUGCUCCCACUCCAGGGCCCAGCACAUCUCCUGGAUUCCUUAGUGGGCUUCAGCUGUGGUUGCUGUUCUGAGUACUGCUCUCAUCACACCCCCACAGAGGGGGUCUUACCACACAAAGGGAGAGUGGGCCUUCAGGAGAUGCCGGGCUGGCCUAACAGCUCAGGUGCUCCUAAACUCCGACACAGAGUUCCUGCUUUGGGUGGAUGCAUUUCUCAAUUGUCAUCAGCCUGGUGGGGCUACUGCAGUGUGCUGCCAAAUGGGACAGCACACAGCCUGUGCACAUGGGACAUGUGAUGGGUCUCCCCACGGGGGCUGCAUUUCACACUCCUCCACCUGUCUCAAACUCUAAGGUCGGCACUUGACACCAAGGUAACUUCUCUCCUGCUCAUGUGUCAGUGUCUACCUGCCCAAGUAAGUGGCUUUCAUACACCAAGUCCCAAGUUCUUCCCAUCCUAACAGAAGUAACCCAGCAAGUCAAGGCCAGGAGGACCAGGGGUGCAGACAGAACACAUACUGGAACACAGGAGGUGCUCAAUUACUAUUUGACUGACUGACUGAAUGAAUGAAUGAAUGAGGAAGAAAACUGUGGGUAAUCAAACUGGCAUAAAAUCCAGUGCACUCCCUAGGAAAUCCGGGAGGUAUUCUGGCUUCCCUAAGAAACAAUGGAAGAGAAGGAGCUUGGAUGAGGAAACUGUUCAGCAAGAGGAAGGGCUUCUCACACUUUCAUGUGCUUGUGGAUCACCUGAGGAUCCUGUGAAAAUACAGAUACUGAUUCAGUGGGUCUGCGUAGAGCCUGAGACUGCCAUUCUAACAUGUUCCCAGGGGAUGCUGAUGCUGCUGGCCCUGGGACUGCACUGCAUGCAUGUGAAGCCCUAUAGGUCUCAGCAGAGGCCCAUGGAGAGGGAAUGUGUGGCUCUGGCUGCCCAGGGCCCAACUCGGUUCACACGGAUCGUGCUGCUCCCUGGCCAGCCUUUGGCCACAGCACCACCAGCUGCUGUUGCUGAGAGAGCUUCUUCUCUGUGACAUGUUGGCUUUCAUCAGCCACCCUGGGAAGCGGAAAGUAGCUGCCACUAUCUUUGUUUCCCCACCUCAGGCCUCACACUUUCCCAUGAAAAGGGUGAAUGUAUAUAACCUGAGCCCUCUCCAUUCAGAGUUGUUCUCCCAUCUCUGAGCAAUGGGAUGUUCUGUUCCGCUUUUAUGAUAUCCAUCACAUCUUAUCUUGAUCUUUGCUCCCAGUGGAUUGUACAGUGAUGACUUUUAAGCCCCACGGCCCUGAAAUAAAAUCCUUCCAAGGGCAUUGGAAGCUCACUCCACCUGAACCAUGGCUUUUCAUGCUUCCAAGUGUCAGGGCCUUGCCCAGAUAGACAGGGCUGGCUCUGCUGCCCCAACCUUUCAAGGAGGAAACCAGACACCUGAGACAGGAGCCUGUAUGCAGCCCAGUGCAGCCUUGCAGAGGACAAGGCUGGAGGCAUUUGUCAUCACUACAGAUAUGCAACUAAAAUAGACGUGGAGCAAGAGAAAUGCAUUCCCACCGAGGCCGCUUUUUUAGGCCUAGUUGAAAGUCAAGAAGGACAGCAGCAAGCAUAGGCUCAGGAUUAAAGAAAAAAAUCUGCUCACAGUCUGUUCUGGAGGUCACAUCACCAACAAAGCUCACGCCCUAUGCAGUUCUGAGAAGGUGGAGGCACCAGGCUCAAAAGAGGAAAUUUAGAAUUUCUCAUUGGGAGAGUAAGGUACCCCCAUCCCAGAAUGAUAACUGCACAGUGGCAGAACAAACUCCACCCUAAUGUGGGUGGACCCCGUCCAGUCUGUUGAAGGCCUGAAUGUAACAAAAGGGCUUAUUCUUCCUCAAGUAAGGGGGAACUCCUGCUUUGGGCUGGGACAUAAGUUUUUCUGCUUUCAGACGCAAACUGAAAAAUGGCUCUUCUUGGGUCUUGAGCUUGCUGGCAUAUGGACUGAAAGAAACUAUGCUAUUGGAUCUCCUGGAUCUCCAGCUUGCUGACUGCAGAUCUUGAGAUAUGUCAGCCUCUACAGUCACAAGAGCUAAUUCAUUCUAAUAAACCAAUCUUUCUGUA